rnacentral:lncRNA from 1 species
CACACUGACAGCAGAAUGGGAGCAUUGUGUCAUCACUGAUAUCUGCCUGAGGGGCUUGGAGCCCAAGUAGUCUUGUUCCUCAUCACUGGGACAAAAUACGCAGCACCCACAACCUAAAGGGAGGGAGAAUUAUUUUGACUCUAUUUUAGAAGUUUCAGUCCUUCCAUGAUCAGCAACAGGAUGGAAGGAUCUGGACAAAGGAAAGCUUCUCUCCUUGUGGUGGACAGGAAGCAGAGAAGCGGGGGAGCUGCGGAAGGAGAUGUCCUUCCAGGUCAUGCCCCCAGGUAGGGCCUCAUCCAGUAAGACUCCACCUCCUGACAGCAAGUCAGCUCUGCUGCCCCCAUAGUCCAAUCACCUCUGCCUCUAAGCGCCCGUGGCUUCGGGGGGACACCCCAGAUCUAAACCUUAACACUCCUCUUAUCCACAGUUUGGCUUUCUGAGGCUUCCAUUACCUGAAGUCAACCAGGAUCCAAAAAUAUUACAUAGAGAAUUCCAGAAAUAAUUCAGAAGCUUUACAUCAUCUGCUAUUCUGAGCAGCAUGGUAAAAUUUCAUACUGUCUCACUUUGUCCUAUCUGGGACUUGACCCUUCGUGCAGUUAAUCCAUGCUCUAUAUGCUGCCUAGCCAAUGGUCACAUGGUAGCCUUCUUGGUUAUCAGAUCACCUGUUGCAGUAUCACAGGGCUUGUGUGCAAGUAACUUCUUUUACUGAAUGGUGACUUCAAAGCACAAGAAUAGCGGUGUUGGAAAUUCAUAUACGCCGAAGGGAAGGUGUGAAGUGCUUACUUCAAGUGAAAAGGUGAAAGUAUGUACGGGGAUAUCUGGACCUCAGCUCCUUCCUCUCUCUGCUUCCUGGACACCAUGAAGCUUCGCUCUGCUGUGAACCCCUUUCCAUAAAACAGGAAGAGGUUCUAACUGUGGGCAUGACUUGGAAGGGCAUAUCUCACUCCCCAGCUCCGCCCUUCUAUGCUUCCUGUGUUGCCUUGCCACAGGGUCAAAAUGGACACAACAGGAGCCAGGGAUUUAGCUCAGUGGUGCCGCCGUCUGCCUCGCAAGCAGAACGUCCUGAGUUCGAUCCCCAGUACCCAAAACCCAAAAAACAAAACAAAAACCCAACAGAACAAUUAACUGUGGAUAGAAACCUCUGAAACUGAG